UCCCUGAUGGCUCAAUGGUAAAGAAUCUGCCUGCAAUGGCAGGAGACCCAGGUUUGAUCCCUGGGUUGGGAA
rnacentral:tRNA from 1 species